ACGUCGACAUUCCUUUAGCGACGGAGAGAGAGAGAGAGAGAGUGAGAGGGGGUCCAGCAAUGCAUUCAAUCCGUUUCGAGGUACAGCCAGGGGCUCAGGAGAGCCACCGGUCAACCAUGAGGGACCCCUGGAGCUGAUUGGUCCUCAGUGGGCAACCUUCUGAACUAUGACAACUGCAAGCAAACUGACUGAAGCCCAAAUGAUUGCAGUAAAUGGCCUCGGAUCUCUGUUUGGACUUUGUUCUUUGAUGAGUACUGCACGUAGCCUACCUACAUAUUACAAUGUUCAAGUCCAAUUCAAGCUGACGCUGAUAAAGACAGUUGGGCAACGCAAUUAAAUGAUAAGUGAUCUUCCAAACUUUACAGAUAGCACAUCUUUCCUGCUAACUUUUGUCUGAGGAGAUUUAAUGCAAAUUACUCAUUAAACUAGCCUUAUGACCUUAGUACCCAGGUCACAACCAGUAUAGGCUAAAGAUGAAAUUAAGUGUCCAUGCUUAUAUCCAUGAAUGAUAGUACUUUGCUGUUAGUUCCUCUUGGUCUAGAUCCAUAAUUUGGAUUUAUUGAAUCAUAAAAUGGAAAACACUAAACAUUUUGUUCCUCAAUUGUCAAAAUUAAUAAUGAAAUAUGAGAACACUUUAAUGGCAUUCAAUUUUCAUUAAUAUGAUUUUGUUCAAUAAUAAUGUUAUAAUUUAUCUUUUUCAGCAGUGCAUCUGAUGGUCAAUUUCCUGUCAUGAACACUUCAAUAUUCAUGGGAGGACCAAUGCACCCAUUAUCAAUCAAUCAAGAACACCAUUUAUAUAGAAGAAAAAAAAAACGACCUUCCGAGGAAUGGCUUGAUAACCCUGGAUAUACUUGCUGUAUCUUUUUACCAGGACAUUGUCAGAACUUGUCCUGAGAUUUCUCCGAGGAAGAACAGCAUACCUUACACGUUAUAUCCUGAGUUUAAAGGUCUCAAGCACAGUUUCAUCAGAGUUAUCUGACUCCUUAAGGGUC